GUGAUGGGUUUUAAGCAUGAGCCAAGGAA
rnacentral:piRNA from 1 species